AGAAAUCCCGCCUGUGUUCGAAACACGUAAAUGUCGUUUUUACUUCACAGACCUCUGUAAAGCAUGGCGAUGAAACGAAAAUUUCCCGUUUCCAGGCUGCGGAACGUACUGAAACAGAACAACAGUUCUCUCAAAUUUGCAGGACCAAAGGUUUCAUACCUGAUAUACCUGGACUAUGUGCUCUUCCUGCAAAGGUUGGCGACGGAGGCUACAAAUGUGCAGAGACAAGAGAAGGCAAAUAGGCUUAAACCAGCACAUGUUGUUAAAGCAAGGAAGAAAGUGCUCAGCAUGUGUCGGGGGUAAGGAGACAGGACAAACAUACCAGCAGAUAGUGUUCAGUGAAGCCAGGGGAGGUAAUCGUUAUGUGACACGAGAAACCUGGUCAGAUUCUGAAGUCAGCAUGUGAAGGAAGGCUGAGGGAAAUGAACACAUCAUUGUUGCUCCUUGUGAAGUCUCUAUAAGUGGAUGAUGUGGACAACACCCUAGGACAUCAUCACAUAGGACAGGUCAUUGUGCAACAAAGUACAUCUUCAUUUGCAGAGAAAACCUGUAGCAAAGCAUUUCAUCAUUCAGGUUCCCCAGUGUUUACUGUUGUUUGGUAGCUGUUUGACACCUUCAUUAAACACACACACACAUUUACUAAAGGGUUUUCUUGGCGUUUACCUUUUUUCACCUGGAUAAACUGUUCAAGGCCUGAUAAUGUUUUACGGCACUGGUAGUCACUUAGUCAGGUUGUUAACAGGUAUGAAAUCUAACUUUUAAGACUUCAGAGUGAGCAACCAAAAGCUUCUAAUUCUCUGAAUUUUUUAUUCUUCCCCUGAUGCAUCCAGUGUUUUGUGUAUUCCUCUCUCAAAUGCUACAUGUGCAUGUCAGUUCUAAUACCAUUGUCAGUGUAAAACACAAUUCAAAUAAAUAAUGGAAUGGUAGUGGCUGGAUGUGAUAUGAUGGAAUUUUUGUAAAACAGGUAACACUAGUCAAGCUGUGCAAUAGGGACAUUUCCUCUUGUAUUUUUAGACAGUCGGGUACGCUUAGAUGUACAGACCACAUUAAUAAAAAU